rnacentral:tRNA from 1 species
AAGCUUAGGUUAACACCACAAACCAGGGGCCUUCAAAGCCCCAAACAAGAGCUGGGCCCUYUUAGCCUCUG